UGUAAAUGUGAAUUUAAUGGGACCAGGGUAGUAAUAGUUAUGUUCUUGAAACCCAAAGAAUUUGGCGGUAUUUUAGUCCUUUCAGAGGAAUCUGUCCCGUAAUCGACAGUUCACGAGACAAUUUACUUAUUUUUGUUUUCAGUUUGUAUACCUCCGUCAUAAGGGAAUCUUUUCAGAGUUAAAUUUUCUUAAUAUAAUAAAUAUAUUAUGUCAGGUCAAGGUGCAACUUAUAAAUAAGUGGAGAUGGAUUACAAUAAAUUUAUUUAUAUGGAUUAAAUUAUUUAUUUUUUUUAUGAAGGUGGAUUUGAUAGUAAUUUUGAUUAUUUAUUAUUAUGAUUUUGGCUCUAAAAUAUGC
rnacentral:rRNA from 1 species